GGGGUCUUGGGGUGAAUUUUGGGGAUGUCUGGGAUGAUUUGGGGGAAAUUUGGGGGAAUUUUGGGGGUCCUGGGAUGAUUCCCAAGCCUCCCCUCCCCCACAGCCCCGGCCCCGCCCCGCCCCCCAACGGGCUCCGCCCCCCGCCGGCCCCGCCCUUCGAUUACCAACAGCUGUUCCAGGAGCUUUGGGUUGAAAACGAGCGGAUUCGGGAGCAGCUGCAGGAGGCGGAGCUGGCGCUGACCCAGAGCCGGCUGGAGCUCGAGAGGGUCACUCAGCCCCAGGAGCGCCGGGCGCUGGAGCUGAAGGCGGCUGAGCUGGAGGAGGAGCUGAAGGUGAUUUUGGGGUGAUUUCAGGGUGAAUUUUAGGGUGGUUUGAGGUGAUUUUUGGGGUGGUUUUGGGGUGAUUUUGAGGUUGGUUUUGGGGGGGUUUUGGCGUGUUUUCAGGGCGGGUUCAGGGUGAUUUUGGGGGUGGUUUCAGGGUAGUUUUGGGAUGGUUUUGGGGGUGGUUUCAUGGUAGUUUUG
rnacentral:lncRNA from 1 species